rnacentral:rRNA from 1 species
UAGUAAUCGUAGAUCAGAAUGCUACGGUGAAUACGUUCCCGGGCCUUGUACACACCGCCCGUCACACCAUGGGAGUGGGUUGCAAAAGAAGUAGGUAGCUUAACCUUCGGGAGGGCGCUUACCACUUUGUGAUUCAUGACUGGGGUGAAGUCGUAACAAGGUAACCGUAGGGGAACCUGCGGUUGGAUCACCUCCUUACCUUAAAGAA